UACGGAAGGCAGCAGUGGGGAAUAUUGGACAAUGGGCGCAAGCCUGAUCCAGCCAUGCCGCGUGUGUGAAGAAGGCCUUUUUGGUUGUAAAGCACUUUAAGCGAGGAGGAGGCUCUCUUAGUUAAUACCUAAGAUGAGUGGACGUUACUCGCAGAAUAAGCACCGGCUAACUCUGUGCCAGCAGCCGCGGUAAUACAGAGGGUGCGAGCGUUAAUCGGAUUUACUGGGCGUAAAGCGUGCGUAGGCGGCUUUUUUAAGUCGGAUGUGAAAUCCCCGAGCUUAACUUGGGAAUUGCAUUCGAUACUGGGAAGCUAGAGUAUGGGAGAGGAUGGUAGAAUUCCAGGUGUAGCGGUGAAAUGCGUAGAGAUCUGGAGGAAUACCGAUGGGCGAAGGGCAGCCAUCUGGCCUAAUACUGACGCUGAGGUACGAAAGCAUGGGGAGCAAACAGGGAUUAGAUACC
rnacentral:rRNA from 1 species